rnacentral:lncRNA from 1 species
GUUUGUAGCCACACAGGCCUCCUGUGCAGCAACUUAUUAAAACUCCACUGAAGAGCCUCAGAGGAACACUGACUCCCUGAACGGAGGGGCAGUGGUCAGUGUUCAGCUGAGAGCUGUUCCCUGACAGAGAGGGUCGCCACAGGAGAAAAGAGGAGCCACCUAAGAGAACGAAUUGCACGAGGUCGAAAAGGGUUAAAAGCAUGGAAUGCAGGUUGCACAAUCCAGAAUACAGGCUUGAUGCAGUGUCAGAUCCAUGGAAGGAGUCUCCAGGAAGAAAGCCUCCAAAUUGAGCAGGGGUGGAAACCUUCGAGACAACCAGCCUUCCCUCCACGAUUUUCACUCAGUCAAUUUAGCUUAUAAACUGUGCAAGCUGGUUUGAGACAUCUGUGGGGCAGAACUCACUGUACACCGUCCCUGUCUAGGACUGUCUCUCACCAGAACAGUGCCCCGAGGGUAAGCUCUUGCUACUGCCGAUGUUUAACUAUUUGCACUCAAUACAAAUGACUUACAAAUACAAUUGUGUAAGUCAGGUCAUGCAGAAACACUUCCCAUAUGUGACACCAUGUGGCAUUUAAGUCGCCCCAGUUUAAGAAUCACUUCUAUUGCACAAGUAAGAAAACAGACUCCAAGAUGCUAAAGAUAUACAGGAUCCCAUGGAUGAAAAGUGGUAGACUGGGCUGGCCUGACUCACCUUUUCCUAAUUAAUGGUGACAAAUGUCACACCCUGCCUCCCAUCCUAAAGUUAACCCUCUCAUUAGUCCUAUUAGACUCAGCACCCAAAGUGGAUCUUGUCAGGUAGGUUUUUUUUUUUUUUUUUUUUUUCCUGUUCCUCAGAUAAAAGUUGAAGGCAAAAGAAAACUUUUUCCUCUCCAGUCAUUCUGAGGCAUUCAGAUUAAAAUGACACCCUUGUCAAGGUACUCUUAAUGCCAGAUCUAUACAAAUGCAGACAGAUGAUGGAGAGGGAGGAGGGGUGGGGAGGAGAUGUCCCUGGAGUGACUAGACAUCGCUCUAAGUAGAGCCUGCUGGAGCCUGAAUGAUCCUCCUUCUCUCCGCCGUCUUCCAUCCUGACGAGGAGUAGCAUCUGGCUGCUAGGCAGAAGCUGUUUUGUUCCUUCUUUUCGGUCAUGUAGCUGCUAGUUCUCUCCACUUGUGGCUUGCCACUCAUGACUCCCCUGAGGCAGAUUCUGUGUCUGUGGGGGUUUGGGUACUCAGAGUGUUGGUGCCCCAUCCCCACCCCUGCUUCCCCGGUGUAGAAUCUAACCCUGAGAAAAGAAGAUGUCUUCCAUUAAAAAACUAAACAAAACAAAACACCUGCACAAAGAUGCUUGCUGCUCAUGGGGAAGACGGUGUGGAGAAGACACAGAUAAGACUGAACAACAACGCCACGGAGUGCAUUUCAGAGGUGUCGCCGUGCCAAGAGCUAGCAACCACAUUUCUGUGUAAGUGACAAUCCAAAGCCUUCUUUGCUGGACAGCAGACGGUGAGAGCAUUAAUUCAGUCCCUUUCCACAUCCAGCUAACAACUCCUUAGAAGAGAGAGGCAUUUAAACUGCAGAAUCUCCCCACUGUGUGUGUCCUAUUAUCACCCACAGUGGAUUUAAGCCUAGUGAGGGCCCCUCAUUUCUGUUUUUUUUUUUUUUGUUUUCUAUCACGUUGCCCUACAAGCAGAAGAGCAGACUGCAAAGAAAUUACAUCUUAAGAAUCAUUUGUGACUGUAUCAGAUCCUGUAUUUAUAAACAAGAUACACUUUGCAAUGAUACAAAAAUCUCAGAACUAAAGGAGGGAGACGCUAGCAAUUAGCUCAUCCGCCGUGAUAAUGGUGACAAUGGCUACACAAUGCCAUUCCUGUUAAUGAAUUCAAAAUAAUGGCACAAAAC